UACGAAGGGGGCUAGCGUUGCUCGGAAUCACUGGGCGCAAAGCGCACGUAGGCGGAUCGUUAAGUCAGGGGUGAAAUCCUGGAGCUCAACUCCAGAACUGCCUUUGAUACUGGCGACCUUGAGUUCGGGAGAGGUGAGUGGAACUGCGAGUGUAGAGGUGAAAUUCGUAGAUAUUCGCAAGAACACCAGUGGCGAAGGCGGCUCACUGGCCCGAUACUGACGCUGAGGUGCGAAAGCGUGGGGAGCAAACAGG
rnacentral:rRNA from 1 species